ACGGGGUGCAGCAGGCGCGAAAACUUUACAAUGCGGGAAACCGUGGUAAGGGGACACCGAGUGCCAGCGUCAUACGCUGGCUGUCCAGAUGUGUAAAAUACACCUGUCAGCAAGGGCCGGGCAAGACCGGUGCCAGCCGCCGCGGUAACACCGGCGGCCCGGGUGGUGAUCGUGAUUAUUGGGUCUAAAGGGUCCGUAGCCGGUUUGGUCAGUCCUCCGGGAAAUCUGAUAGCUUAACUAUUAGGCUUUCGGGGGAUACUGCCAGGCUUGGAACCGGGAGAGGUAAGAGGUACUACAGGGGUAGGAGUGAAAUCUUGUAAUCCCUGUGGGACCACCUGUGGCGAAGGCGUCUUACCAGAACGGGUUCGACGGUGAGGGACGAAAGCUGGGGGCACGAACCGGAUUAGAUACCCGGGUAGUCCCAGCCGUAAACGAUGCUCGCUAGGUGUCAGGCAUGGCGCGACCGUGUCUGGUGCCGCAGGGAAGCCGUGAAGCGAGCCACCUGGGAAGUACGGCCGCAAGGCUGAAACUUAAAGGAAUUGGCGGGGGAGCAC
rnacentral:rRNA from 1 species